GCUUGAUCUAGGGAUGAACGAAUGAUGAACGAUGAACACUUUCUUCAAGGGCCGUCGGGGCUUGAUCUUGAAUCAGUGGAAGUUCUUCAAGGGCCGUUGGGGCUUGAUCUUGAAUGAGGAUUUGACGAAGAACGAAGAGAGCUCUCUUGAUCCUUCGGGAUUUGCUUGGGAGCUUUUGAGUUUCAAAGCUUCAAGGUUUUGAUAUGAAGUGAAUUGGUUAUGAAUUGGUGUCCUUCAAAUGAAUGCCUUGGCCUUCUAUUUAUAGGAUUCCAAAACUUGAUUUUUUUGGAUUUAAAUAAUUAGAUGGAAUAAAUCAUCUCUGCCAGGUGUUGACACGUGUCCUGUUUGAUGACUUUUCCGAUUUAUUUUGAUUUUUCGUUUAGUCACAUGCUAUGUGUAAAAUUUAUGUGACACAUAAACAUUGAAAUUUUAAUUUUUGAUCAACAUUUAUUUUACCGAAAUUUCGAUGUCUACAUUGAUCAUAUCAAAUUACAACCAAAAACUAAUCUACACAUUCCCAUGGUUCAAACAAAUUUGAGAGACGGCCUUUCACAUAGCUUAAUUAUCAUAGGCUUAGGUUCAUAAUCACCAUUUCUUUUAACGCUUUAACUAAGUAAACUUGAAUGCAACAUU
rnacentral:lncRNA from 1 species